rnacentral:misc_RNA from 1 species
GAUGAAGAACGUAGCGAAAUGCGAUACUUGGUGUGAAUUGCAGAAUCCCGUGAACCAUCGAGUCUUUGAACGCAAGUUGCGCCCGAAGCCAUUAGGCCGAGGGCACGCCUGCCUGGGUGUCACACACCGUUACCCUCGCGCCAACGUCCAUCGUUGGCCGCGGCGCGGGGCGUGCGCUGACCUCCCGCGAGCGGGGUCUCGUGGUUGGUUGAAAAUCGAGUUCGCGGUCGAGGGUGCCGUGAUGAAAUGGUGGAUGGGCGACGCCCGAGGCCAAUCACGCGCGACUCUGUCCGGCUCGGACACCUGGACCCCUUCGGCGUCUCCGGACGCUCUUUGGCGAGACCUCAGGUCAGGCGGGGCUACCCGCUGAGUUUAAGCAUAUCAAUAAGCGGAGGA